UACAGAGGGGGCAAGCGUUAUUCGGAAUUAUUGGGCGUAAAGGGCGCGUAGGCGGCCAGGCAAGUGGAAGGUGAAAUCCCUCGGCUUAACCGAGGAACUGCCCUCCAAACUGCUUGGCUUGAGACCGGGAGAGGUGAGUGGAAUUCCCAGUGUAGAGGUGAAAUUCGUAGAUAUUGGGAAGAACACCGGUGGCGAAGGCGGCUCACUGGCUCAUUACUGACGCUCAGGCGCGAUAGCGUGGGGAUCAAACAGG
rnacentral:rRNA from 1 species